rnacentral:lncRNA from 1 species
UAAAAAAAUGAAAACAAUAUAAAUAUCACAGUCUUUAAAUGAACACAUCUGGUGGAGAUCACUGCUGUUUAAAAGAUAAUUCUUUUAGCUGCCACUUCAGGAUGUAAAAUCAAGCAUCCAUCUACUCCUUUCAUAAUUCUGAGAACUCCGUCAAUGUAGUCAUCGUAUGUAAUUCAGUCAUAUACAAACAUGGUGAUAUACAUUUUUUUUACAAACUAGUCCAAACGUUAAUGAAUGAUAUUAUGAUUUUAUAGAUAUUUUCCCUGAGUUUGCAAAAGUAAAAUCAAUAAAAUGUAUACAUGUAUUGAACAAUUUGAUAAUAAAAUUUAACAUAUUUGGUCUAUGAAUCAUAUAUGAUCUCUUCUACAACAUACAAUAAAUCAUUUUGUGGCUAGGUCUGGCCUUUAUCCAUUUUAGUGAUAAUUUUGUGACUAGGUCUGGUUUUAUCCAUUUUAGUGCAUGUAAUGAGGUGUAAGGUCUGCUUUUCAACAUUUUUAAUUGCCAAUGUGAAACAGUCACACUGGUAGCAGUACCCAUGUUUAUAUCAUCUUUCAAUGUAUAAAUUUUUAAGUUGUUUUUGUUGAAGGUCCCAUUGUUGUUUGACUUAUGUUCUGCCAAUAGUACAGGUAUAUCUAUGUUUGAUGAACUAACAUUGUUGGUUUGCUGCCUCAUUGAUAUUUACCACACAUCUCAUUUCAUUUUUAUCAUGCAUACAUUCGAUCUUUAAGUUACGUAACAAUACCACAACACAUCACAAAUGUUUUGAAUCUGAAAAUUCUGUUUUGAUAUUGUUUGAAAACAUACUGUAAUUAGACAUCCAUAAAGGUGAAUGAUCAUUUAUGUAAAUGGACUGAAAUUGUGAUCUUAUAGAUAUGGUCUGGCAAAGUAGGGGACAUGCAUAUACUAUGGAAAUUGCAUAUUACUACCCUUCAAUUUGUUGCUGGUACGAGUUUGAUAAGAUAUGAUUUGUGACCAUGACGUCCUAGUUCCCCAUAAUUGAAAUACAGAAUCAACUAAUAAUAAAAGUUUCUUAACUAUAAGUAAUAUUUUUUUUCAGUUUUCAAACAAAACCAGACAUUUUCUUAAACAUAUUGGCUCGAACAGUCUUUAAUCUCUGAUAGCUUUCUUUAUUUCAGCUUCUAAAUGGAAACCUGAAUGAGAAUUUAAACAUAAGCAAAAACACAAUUCUACAAAGAUCUGGCAACAUUUUAACAAAUAUGCAAAUCUGAUCUAUGAUGAUGGUAAUAUAUUACAUAGAAAUGCAACACAUCAAUUACAGUGAUAAAAUUAUUACAAGUGGUGUUUCAUAAAUUUUACAAGCUAUGUUCCAUAACCUUAACAGUAAUAUAAUUAUCAAAAGUGAUGUUUCAUAACCUUAACAAAUAUGGAACUAUUACAAAUAAAGUGUCAUUUAACAGUAAUGAAUUAUAACAAAACAUAUCAUGAAUCCUCCUCCAUUUUGAUAAAACAGAUAACAACUUUACUAUGUAACAAACAAGUUACUACAUCUUGAGUUCAUUCAGUGUGUUAUAUGAGAGGCAAAAACAAUUGUAUUGUCUGGCAUGUCAUGUGAUGAGUUACAAUAAAUCAUAUUACCACAGUUUAAACAAGUAUCUUAGUAGUAUCAAUAGCAUUUAAAAAACAUGUUUUCAACAUUUGAUGAAAUAAGGGAAAAACACAUUUUUCUGAGGUUACAAAAGCCACAUUUAUGGUACCCACCUAGUGCCUUUAUAUGUGUAAAGCAUACAUCAACCAUUUAACAUAAUACCAGUCAGUCAUUUAAGAGGCUAGUGUGUAAAUAUUUUGUUUUUACAAAAAACUUUUACUGAAUAGUUUUAGCAACUCUCAUUCAGAAUACAUUUCUGUCAUUGAUGAAACAUUCAAGUCUCUAAAAUAUGUCAGAAUAUAUUAUAUCAUACAUAUACAAAACGAUUGAACCACACAGGCUAAUAAAUUUUAAAUAUUGCAGAAACAUUUUGUAUAACAGAAGGCACUUUUCUUUUUGUGCAUCUUGCAUGCAACUUUACUAUGUCUUACACUCUUUAAACACUUUAUCUUUCAAAAACAUCACACAUAUCAAAUGUAUUCACCUCAGUUGAACUGUUUCCUUAUCUAGAUUCAAUUAUAUUACAAAAACCCAAGGAUACAAAACUAAUUAAAUCAUAUUAAAGUAACAGCUUUGGCAAAUUUAAGCAAACACUUGCUAACAAUUUCUUUUGACUUAAGUUUGGUUUUUACAUGAUUACUUUUGUAAAUAUUAUUAACAAUUAAACCUUCACUUACAUAGACAAAAACAUAUGAUUUAAGUAUUGUCACCUUCAGAUGUCUACAGCAAAAUAAAAUUCUUAAACCAACUUUCUUAUAACUGGUCAAUUCAAAUUAAAAACACUGUGAACCGACCUAAAACGUACUGUACAAUUCAAUACACAUCCUCUUCCCCAUUUGUGCAAAUAUCAUUAUUGAAAUGGAACUUUUACAACAUUUUUAUCAGGUACUCAAGAUUAUGUAAAUGAUUCAAGGAAAUCCAGUCAGAGAUUUGGAUGUAGUCAGAGGUAAUGCCUUCCACCUUCCACAAAUAUGGUAAAACUUUAAAAAGAAUUGGAACAAUAAAAUACAUGAUGUGGUACCAAUGCAAUUAUGGGUUGAGAUUCUUUAUCAAAAUUCAUUGGCAUCCUGUCAAUGAUAAAUAAGCAAUUGAAAAUUUUAAGCAUAAAAGAAUUUACAAAAGGAAUGCAAACACCAACAACUAUCAACCUCUCACUUCAGCAAGAAGUAAAGGAGCAGUGGCGGAUCCAGAAGGGGGGGUCUGGGGGUUGGAACCCCCCUUUUUUUGGACGAUCAAUGCAUUUGAAUGGGGACAUAUAGUUGGAACCUCCCUUUUUUUUGACGAUCAAUGCAUUUGAAUGGGGACAUAUAGUUGGAACCCCCCCUUUAUCCUGGGUUGGGAACCUCCCUUUUUAAAAUGGCUGGAUCUGCCCCUGAGGAGCAAGGGAGAGAAUUUAAAGAAAAUGUAAGGAACUAACAUCAAUUCCUCUAAAGUUAAUUGGCCCAAGUAAGAAGAAAUGACAUUCCUUAAUGAUCAACCAAUGAGAAACCGAGGGACAAGAAUGAAAUCAGAUAUGACAGACUGUAUAACCUUCAACAAUUAGCAACACCAAUACAGUACAGUAAAACACCCUGGCAAACAAAAUAUGAAUCAAUUCAAAAGUGAUUUAGCACAAAUACAUAUUCUUUAUUAUCAAUUGCAACAUUGAAAACCAACAGCCUGAUUACUGCUUAAACAUCAAAUGAAACAGAAAUAAGGCAGACAGCAAGCAUGGACAACCAUUGAAUAAAAGGCUCCUUACUUUGAACAUCCAAUGUUUUGACAUAGCUUUUGAUAAAAUCAAAAUAAAGCAGAUCACAUGAUUGAAAAUUGGUUUACAUGUUUAUAUUAAGUUGUGCUUUUACUUUGUAAAUUUUUCUAUAAACAAUACAUGCUCAGUUUACAAAUAUUACAUUGACUAUUAAAAGAAAAAAACAGUAAAAAUAAACAUGACAAUUUAAACAUAAUGCUCAUACAUACUUUGUAAUUCAAAUGUUUCAAAUGAUUAUCAUUGACAUUGAUGCAUGUUAUGAUGAUUUAGGAACAUUAUCAGUCAAGUCUUUCAGACAUUAUAAAAUGAAGUAAUGAUUUUGAAACACUAUAAUCAGACAUGCAUUAUAGAUAUAG